AGCGAACGCUGGCGGCAGGCUUAACACAUGCAAGUCGAACGGGCACUUCGGUGUCAGUGGCAGACGGGUGAGUAACACGUGGGAACGUACCUUUUGGUUCGGAACAACUGAGGGAAACUUCAGCUAAUACCGGAUAAGCCCUUACGGGGAAAGAUUUAUCGCCGAAAGAUCGGCCCGCGUCUGAUCAGCUAGUUGGUAGGGUAAUGGCCUACCAAGGCGACGAUCAGUAGCUGGUCUGAGAGGAUGAUCAGCCACAUUGGGACUGAGACACGGCCCAAACUCCUACGGGAGGCAGCAGUGGGGAAUAUUGGACAAUGGGGGCAACCCUGAUCCAGCCAUGCCGCGUGAGUGAUGAAGGCCCUAGGGUUGUAAAGCUCUUUUGUGCGGGAAGAUAAUGACGGUACCGCAAGAAUAAGCCCCGGCUAACUUCGUGCCAGCAGCCGCAGUAAUAC
rnacentral:rRNA from 1 species